AUUUCACAUCAAAUCUUACCAGCGACCACCACCGACAAAACAAGUAACAACUUCAUUUUCUCAACCCUAUUGAUACGGGAAGCAAUCAGAUACUACCAGUAUUGACAGGCCCGUUGACCCAUUGCUAGGAAAUCUGAUCCAAAUCCGCAAAAAUGAAUAGCUUUUAAUCCCGGCUCUGAAAUAGCACACUUCGUAUGCUUCGCCACUCAGUAUGCUUCGCAGUCCGCCAGAAUGAAGUCCCCGAUUGCAAUUUUGCUGCUUGCGAUUCCCUCGCAAAUGGUUACCAGCUGACCGAUGAGGAGUUCGAAUCAGGUAAAGGUAGCCCAUCAAACCAGAGAUCAUACAAGGAUGUUUAUUUCAAAUUGUAUAAAUGUUCACUUUACGUUAGGAUUGGAUAUGAUGCCAAAUUUAAUCUGAUUGCAAUUUGCAUCUAAUUAAACCACAAUUUCAUAUAUUCAAAUAUAAAACUUCAAAUUGCCAUUCCAUUGUGAUUUCUACUGCA